rnacentral:misc_RNA from 1 species
GAUGAAGAACGUAGCGAAAUGCGAUAAGUAAUGUGAAUUGCAGAAUUCCGUGAAUCAUCGAAUUUUUGAACGCACAUUGCGCCCCCUGGUAUUCCGGGGGGCAUGCCUGUCCGAGCGUCAUUGCUGCCCUCAAGCACGGCUUGUGUGUUGGGCCUCCGUCCUCCUCCCGGGGGACGGGCCCGAAAGGCAGCGGCGGCACCGCGUCCGGUCCUCGAGCGUAUGGGGCUUCGUCACCCGCUCUUGUAGGCCCGGCCGGCGCUUGCCGACACAUCAAUCUUUUUUCCAGGUUGACCUCGGAUCAGGUAGGGAUACCCGCUGAACUUAAGCAUAUCAAUAAGCGGAGGA